UCUACUAAGUCACGCUCUACGAAGUCCCCACUCUACGAGUCCACCCUCUACGAAGACACGCUCUAUGAAGGCCCCACUCUACGAAGGCCCCAAAUGCCACUCUACGAUGUCCUACUUUUCGAGUCCCUAGCACCUGUACAAGCAGACCUCAAGCAAUCCCACUCUACGAGUGCAUCUCUACGAGAGCAGCUACAACACAAAGGAUCUAUAGCAU
rnacentral:lncRNA from 1 species